AGCACGGCCCGUGAGAGCUGCUGCCUUGCAGGCGGUGGCUUCUCCCAGGGUGACAGCGCUGGCGUGUCCCAAAGUCCGCGGCGGUGCCUGGGAAACAAGUCGCUCAGCCCUAACCAGGGUGAGUGAAGCUGCCAAGGCUGCUGCUCCUAGGGCUCGAACGAUUUACCUGGCUAAACCAAAGCCACGAGACUUCUCACGCGCCCUGGACGCCCCAUCCGCACCUCCGAGGAACAUGAAGAGUUUAACAAGAACUAUAGUCCUAGCUGAACCCAAACGGGAAGACCCGAGGUACUGCUGUGAGAAACUGCUACCGUGGCCUGUCUCAGCAGCUUCGAAGAACGCUGUCGCAUCAGCCAGAAUCUUGCAGCUUGCCUGGCCCAAGAUACGCAAACACAUCUUUGACAGCUACGACCCUUUCAGGAUCUGCAGCGCUGCACAGCGUGCCAAGGCAAGCCCCUCUCUUCUGGAGCUAAGCAUUCCCCACAGGGUGAGAUGAAAUAGGUUUUAAAUCUUUGACUGUUACUGUAUGGAUGUGGAGACUGCUUCUGCUCGUACAUUAAAUGUUCUGCAGCCCAGCUCCAUGAACAGCUUGUGCGGCGUUUUCAGAUCUGGUUGCAGCUGAAGGAUAGCUGGAGAAUUAGUUUGCUGAACCUGGUGAUUCUGAUGACAGAAAUUAAUAUACUGGGAAAUGGAAGUGUCCAGUGAAAAUAUUUCACCCUUCCCUCUGGCAAGCACAACCACUUGGAGAGCCAGCCUGGCAGUUGUCACUGCAAUCAUUAAACAGAGCUUUAGAAGCUGGCAUGGAUAUUGAUCCAGGUCACUAAAACUGCUUCUGUCACAGCACUCAAGUAACGGGUAGAGCUGGGCAGUUGUUAUGAAGAAUUAAACAAAAUAAGUUUGCUGCAAUGAGUCCUUCUCCCCAAACUUUGGGGACAGUUGGACAUUCCUUUUCCCAUAGUCUUGCAAAGUAAGGCUAAGUGUGAACCUGAAUUCACACAAGAACUUGUAGCUCUUGUGUGUGCACAGUCAGCUUGCAUUCCCUGCAGGUUGGGGGAAUUGAUCAUUCAUGGAACAGACCCAACAAUUUGGGAAUAGAUGAACAGUUCCACGGUGCAGACCCUGAAUGGUGAACACUCAAAGCGACAGCACAGCAAUGUGUAAGCUGCCUUAGAGACGCGUGCGCCUGAACUGCUCCUCAAAUCACACUGGAUACCCUACAGACUAGUCAGACCAUUCCUAAAGUAAAUUGCAAACAGGUAGAGGGCUUGAACUCAUGGAAUAGAAUAGUUCACUCGCCUUAAGUUUUGACCCAAAAUCCAGGCCUUUCUGCUUUCACGGUGGUAAUACGCAUGAACUCAAUGUUAGGAGCAGGACAGAAAGCAGCAGGCUUUUGUCACAGUAUCUCUGAAAGCUAAAGACAAGGCUAGUUUUUUAAUUGAAUAAACAAUGUCUGCAAUCUGUUAGAGUCCUUCAAGAAGAACUAGACAGAUCUUCUGUGCUAGGGAAUAAAGGUCUGUUGAAGUGCUCUAGUUCUCAGCUCAAGGGCCACCGCCAUCACUUCAGAAACACUUGAUAACACUUUGCUUCCUGAGCUCAAAAGCGCGAGUGAAAAUGAACACAAAGCAAAUUGCCAGGGUGCUUGGUACAGAGGCUCCUCAUAACAACUGGAGACUAAAAAGCUACCACAAGCACAGCUCUAUGGCUGAAUCUUUAUCAUUAGAGAGAAAUCGGGGUAUACCCUCCAGAGGUAUCAACUUGAACAGAACCGUUUACCAGAUUCAUAAAUUGGUGAGACGUGGUGGCAAAUAUAGUUAUGCGUCCUGCCAAUGGUGUUGGCAGCUCAUUAGUGUGCACCUUGCAAAGGAAGAAUUGGCCCUGUGGCUGCAAUUGUGAGUCACGGAGGGAUGAAAGGGUCCCUUCGCAGAGCUGAUUUCUUACAGAAAGCCUUGGAGAUGUACAGAAUUAAACAAGAACUAAGUGCACUGGAGGAUUAUGGUGUGGAAGUGUGUGGCUCAUGAUCAAAUUAAACAGAACUGAAAAGAUCCAUUAAGGAGCUUCUGUAAGUACAUCUCUAGUAUUUUUCUCGUAUAGCCACAGCAAGAAACUACUAAAUAGCAUUUACCUUGUUGUCUUUGCAACACAGGAACAGCUCCUGGGCACCUAUCCCAAUUUCCCUCUUCUACACCCUCUAAAUGUAAUCUUUUUCUCAACAAGUUGCGCUGUUAGUCACCGAAGCUUUGUCUCCCACAGAUUUCAGCUUUGUGAU